rnacentral:rRNA from 1 species
UACGUAGGGCGCAAGCGUUGUCCGGAAUUAUUGGGCGUAAAGAGCUCGUAGGCGGCCUGUUACGUCUGCUGUGAAAUCCCGGGGCUUAACCCCGGGCGUGCAGUGGAUACGGGCAGGCUGGAGGCAGGCAGGGGAGAACGGAAUUCCCGGUGUAGCGGUGAAAUGCGCAGAUAUCGGGAGGAACACCGGUGGCGAAGGCGGUUCUCCGGGCCUGUACUGACGCUGAGGAGCGAAAGCGUGGGGAGCGAACAGG